GUCGUUGUGAGGCGGGGGCUGGAGGGAGCGUGUAGCAAAGCCACGACCUGACGAACAGAAACCAGAUAUGAGGCCUACCCGGGCGG
rfam:Candidatus Burkholderia verschuerenii strain TZHbot4 BVERctg92, whole genome shotgun sequence.